AGCGAACGCUGGCGGCAGGCCUAACACAUGCAAGUCGAACGAAGCCUUCGGGCUUAGUGGCGGACGGGUGAGUAACACGUGGGAACGUGCCUUUAGGUUCGGAAUAGCUCCUGGAAACGGGUGGUAAUGCCGAAUGUGCCCUUUGGGGGAAAGAUUUAUCGCCUUUAGAGCGGCCCGCGUCUGAUUAGCUAGUUGGUGAGGUAAUGGCUCACCAAGGCGACGAUCAGUAGCUGGUCUGAGGGGAUGACCAGCCACAUUGGGACUGAGACACGGCCCAAACUCCUACGGGAGGCAGCAGUGGGGAAUCUUGCGCAAUGGGCGAAAGCCUGACGCAGCCAUGCCGCGUGAAUGAUGAAGGUCUUAGGAUUGUAAAAUUCUUUCACCGGGGACGAUAAUGACGGUACCCGGAGAAGAAGCCCCGGCUAACUUCGUGCCAGCCGCCGCGGUAAAAC
rnacentral:rRNA from 1 species